rnacentral:rRNA from 1 species
UACGUAGGGAGCAAGCGUUGUCCGGAAUCAUUGGGCGUAAAGCGCGUGUAGGCGGUCCGGUAAGUCCGCUGUGAAAGUCGGGGGCUCAACCCUCGAAUGCCGGUGGAUACUGUCGGGCUAGAGUGCGGAAGAGGCGAGUGGAAUUCCUGGUGUAGCGGGUGAAAUGCGCAGAUAUCAGGAGGAACACCAAUUGCGAAGGCAGCUCGCUGGGACGUUACUGACGCUGGAGACGCGAAAGCGUGGGGAGCAAACAGG